rnacentral:rRNA from 1 species
GACGAACGCUGGCGGCGUGCUUAACACAUGCAAGUCGAACGGUAAGGCCCUUCGGGGUACACGAGUGGCGAGCGGGUGAGUAACACGUGGGUGAUCUGCCCUGCACUUCGGUAUAAGCCUGUGAAACUGGGUCUAAUACCGGAUAGGACCCUGGGAUGCAUGUCCUGGGGGGGACAGCUUUUGCGGUGUGGGAUGGUCCCGCGGCCUAUCAGCUUGUUGGGGGGGUGAUGGCCUACCAAGGCGACGACGGGUAGCCGGCCUGGGAGGGUGACCGGCCACACUGGGACUGAGAUACGGCCCAGACUCCUACGGGAGGCAGCAGUGGGGAAUAUUGCACAAUGGGCGCAAGCCUGAUGCAGCGACGCCGCGUGAGGGAUGACGGCCUUCGGGUUGUAAACCUCUUUCAGCACCGACGAAGCGCAAGUGACGGUAGGUGCAGAAGAAGGACCGGCCAACUACGUGCCAGCCGCCGCCGUAA